UGGGGAAUUUUGGACAAUGGGGGAAACCCUGAUCCAGCCAUCCCGCGUGUGCGAUGAAGGCCUUCGGGUUGUAAAGCACUUUUGGCAGGAAAGAAACGUCAUGGGUUAAUACCCCGUGAAACUGACGGUACCUGCAGAAUAAGCACCGGCUAACUACGUGCCAGCAGCCGCGGUAAUACGUAGGGUGCAAGCGUUAAUCGGAAUUACUGGGCGUAAAGCGUGCGCAGGCGGUUCGGAAAGAAAGAUGUGAAAUCCCAGAGCUCAACUUUGGAACUGCAUUUUUAACUACCGGGCUAGAGUGUGUCAGAGGGAGGUGGAAUUCCGCGUGUAGCAGUGAAAUGCGUAGAUAUGCGGAGGAAAACCGAUGGCGAAGGCAGCCUCCUGGGAUAACACUGACGAUCAUGCACGAAAGCGUGGGGAGCAAACAGG
rnacentral:rRNA from 1 species